CCCAGGUCAUGCUAACGUGCAAGCAGGUUUGGGGCCGCAGAGUCGCGCCUCCUACUCCUGGCGGGAGCCCCCGCAGCCGGGUGGGAGGGCGCAGCACGUGCCAAGCGUCCUGUGGCUGCAGCUGCCGCCGAGCGCAGGACCUGGCGCGGGAGCCGCCCACCUGGGCCCUCCAGGCGGCGGGGAUGGGGGAGCGGACUCGGGAGGAGGCCCCGGGGCAGCCUGCAAGCCCUGCGCGGCCCAGGACCCCUCGCCCCGCCUGCAGCCGGGCGCAGAGCAGGGGCCGCAUCUCAGGCGGGACGACCUGUCCCCCCACGAAGGAGGCCGCGCGGCACCCUCGCUGCUUGGGGCCCGAAUGUAGAUACACGGAAAGAACAUACGCCUGGAAGGCGGCAGGAACAAGGGUGUCCGUGAGAAAGGAGAGCACCGAUGUGCUCGAACCUGCACCGAGGCCUCUAAUUGCUCUCACAAAGUCGCUGAGCAGCUCAGUGAAAAAGACGUGA
rnacentral:lncRNA from 1 species